rnacentral:rRNA from 1 species
AUUGAACGCUGGCGGCAUGCCUUACACAUGCAAGUCGAACGGCAGCAUGAUCUAGCUUGCUAGAUUGAUGGCGAGUGGCGAACGGGUGAGUAAUACAUCGGAACGUGCCCUGUAGUGGGGGAUAACUAGUCGAAAGAUUAGCUAAUACCGCAUACGACCUGAGGGUGAAAGUGGGGGACCGCAAGGCCUCAUGCUAUAGGAGCGGCCGAUGUCUGAUUAGCUAGUUGGUGAGGUAAAGGCUCACCAAGGCGACGAUCAGUAGCUGGUCUGAGAGGACGAUCAGCCACACUGGGACUGAGACACGGCCCAGACUCCUACGGGAGGCAGCAGUGGGGAAUUUUGGACAAUGGGCGAAAGCCUGAUCCAGCAAUGCCGCGUGUAUGAAGAAGGCCUUCGGGUUGUAAAGCACUUUUGUCCGGAAAGAAAUGGCUCUGGUUAAUACCUGGGGUCGAUGACGGUACCGGAAGAAUAAGGACCGGCUAACUACGUG